AUGUGUUCUGGGUCUGCAGCCACUGAUCUAUAUAUGUGUGUAUAUUAUAGAUCAGUGGUCCAAACGCAGCUCCGCAGUGACUCGUGUUUCCAGUACGGCGGAAACUGCGCUACACAGGAAAUGCCACGUGUACCAAGUGCGCAUGCGCGCUCUCCGUGCUCCGCUCGACUUCCGCUGAGAGGAAACCGCUGUUUAUCACCGCGACGCUCGGCAGCGCGAGACAGAGAUGACCGCCGCUCGCUAACCGACCCGACUUCACGAUGUCCAGCGGCGGCUUCGCGUCACAGAACGGCGCCGGAGGCUCGUACGCGAACGCGAGGUGUGCUGUGAUUGGCCAGCUGUCCAGCGCGUUGUGAUUGGAUGAAUGCCUCAAGCGUGUGACGGAAAUGUUACGCCUCUUAAAGCGUUAGUUCACCCAAAAAUGAAAAUUAUGUCAUUAAUGACUCACCCUCAUGUCGUUCCAAACCCGUGAGACCUCCGUUCAUCUUCGGAACACAGUUUAAGAUAUUUUAGAUUUAGUCCGAGAGCUUUCUGUCCCUCCAUUGAGAAUGUAUGUACGGUAUACUGUCCACGUCCAGAAAGGUAAUAAAAACAUCUUCAAAGUAGUCCAUGUGACAUCAGAGGGUCCGUUAGAAUUUAUUGAAGCAUCAAAAAUACACUUUGGUCCAAAAAUAACAAAAAUUAUGACUUUAUUCAGCAUUGUCUUCUCUUCCGGGUCUGUUGUGAGCGCCCAAUAAUUAAAUCAGAAGCCUAACAGUAAUGGUGACCUUUCACGUUCAUAUGCCACGUUUUGAUUGAUCGCAUCCAAAAGAAAAUUAUUAUUUUUUACAUAAUAUAUGCGUGUGUACUGUGUAUAUUAUGUAUAUAUAAAUAUACACACAUUUAUAUGUUUAAGAGAAAAAAUAUUUCUAUAUAUUAGGUAUAAAUAUAUUAUGUAAAUGAUAAGAAUAUAAAUAUAUAUAUGUAAGUACAUGUCUAUUUUCAAUGUGUGUGUUUAUAUAUACAUAAUAAAUAUAUAUUUAUAUUUAUAUAUAUAUUUUGUAGAGGCGUGGCUUUCUCUCACACACACGCAGAGAGAGAGAGAAUUGAUGCGCUACAUGUAAAUGAUUUUCUUUGCUGUAUUUUCCUGUCAAAAUAACGGUGUUCCUUUGGAAUUCUUCAGCUUUUAAGAACUGCCGGGUUUUCAGGUAGUGGGUGGAGCUAAUACUCAAAUGUCAAUCUCAUUGGCUGGCGCUCAACUAUUAUCGUCCCUGUUUUGAUUUCAGCAAAUCAGUUCGAGCGAACACACACUACCUGAUUAAUAUUCAUGAAUCCAGCAGCUCAGUAAUCCUUAGUGCAUUUUAAAGUUCUUAUUCGUAGAAUUUGUAUAAUUAUCUUAUCAGUAUUUUUGCUAGGGUUUUCCCCCGGUUUUUUUUUUUUUUUACUUACGAAGUAAACCUGUAAUAAGUCCGAAAAAAAACCAAAACGCCCAACCUAAAAUAAUAAAUAUAUAUUUAUAUUUAUAUAUAUAUUUUGUAGAGGCGUGGCUUUCUCUCACACACACGCAGAGAGAGAGAGAAUUGAUGCGCUACAUGUAAAUGAUUUUCUUUGCUGUAUUUUCCUGUCAAAAUAACGGUGUUCCUUUGGAAUUCUUCAGCUUUUAAGAACUGCCGGGUUUUCAGGUAGUGGGUGGAGCUAAUACUCAAAUGUCAAUCUCAUUGGCUGGCGCUCAACUAUUAUCGUCCCUGUUUUGAUUUCAGCAAAUCAGUUCGAGCGAACACACACUACCUGAUUAAUAUUCAUGAAUCCAGCAGCUCAGUAAUCCUUAGUGCAUUUUAAAGUUCUUAUUCGUAGAAUUUGUAUAAUUAUCUUAUCAGUAUUUUUGCUAGGGUUUUCCCCCGGUUUUUUUUUUUUACAGAAACACUGAAUGACCAAAAAAGCACCACAACCAGUUUAAUUAUCUUAUCAGUAUUUUUUGCUAGGGGUUUUCCCCCGGGUUUUUUUUUUUUUUUUUUUUUACAGAAACACUGAAUGAACCAAAAAGACACCACAACCAGUUCAGUUAAAUGACUAAUAUGAAGUGACGUGACAUACAGCCAAGUACAGUGACCCAUACUCAGAAUUGGUGCUCUGCAUUUUAACCCAUCCAAAGUGCACACACACACACACACACACACACACACGACCGGAGCAGUGAACACACACACACACACACACACACACACACACACACUACCCAGAUAGCAAUAACACGUCGGGCUGAUUCUGGCUGAAAUGCGUCUCUGUAGUUCAGUCUCGGCAU
rnacentral:lncRNA from 1 species